GGACAAUCUAGGCAUUUUUCAUCUGUAAACGUGGCAGAUGUGCAGCAGCUCAAUUGCACAGAAUUUCCCUGUCAACAGGAAAAGUGGGGCUUGCCGUAGUCCUCUGUCCUUCAGUUCAAAUCACUGCAAAUUUCCAAUAAAGGAUAGGGAGCUCUGAUAUGGAUCCAUAAUUUUAUACAGAAGUAGGAAGGCUGUUUAAAAUUGCAAAGAUCUCUUACUACAGUGUUUAGGCUUCUGCUAGAGAAAUUUGUAUCACUAAUGGCAUUAUAUCACUUGCACGUAUAGAAAACUAUACAUUCUAUGCCUUAUAGAACGUAGUGUAU